UUAAUUUAAUUUUAAUAAAAGUUUUAUUUAUAUUCAGUAAUUAUCAAAAUGGGGAAAAUAAAUGCAUUUUAUCCAUAUUGGAUGUGUUGGCUGGCCUUUGAGCAUGGCACCUGUUAAGGAUGGGUGACACCUGUUAUACUAUCUGUCUCCUCUUUGCCACCUCUCUCUCUCCCUCUCUCCUAUUACGUUAAAAGAAGUAAAACGAAGCUGAAAGGCAAUUUUUGCCUAAUAGAAUGACGACCCUAGAAGAAAUUGAUCCAGCUCCGGCAACCGCCGACCUGAUAUCCGCGGCCGUGGCGGACGAGGCAACGGUGGCGGUUUCAGCGGACGGAGAAUUGGACCCAGAAAUAAAUAUUGAUUUUCAGGUGGAUCCAGCUUAUGCUACUUCCAAACAACUCAAGCUAAUUCAAUUUAUGACUAGCUACUUGUUCAUGCAAUUAAAUUAUUUUCUUUUUGUUGCUGAAAUCUAUGACUCCAUUUGGUCUCUUUAUUUUUUAAAGAUUUUUUUUAACUGCUUUAAUCUUCGAUUUUUUCGUCUUUUAGUAAAUUUUUUUAAUUAUUUAGAAACACUUUCAUGUAAUUUGAAAAAAAGACUUAAAAAAUUAUUUUUACUCCAUAAAUUAGCUAUAUUUUUUUUUUCAAAUUGUCACAAAUUAUCAAGAGAAACAGAAAAAUAUAAAAUUUUUGAGCUUUUCGUUUAAAUUUGAAAGAUUUUGAUUGUGGCAACUUAGAAAGUAAUAAUUAUCUUUAUGUUUUAUGUUUUCCUGUUUUUGUAAAUUAUUCUAGACUUUUGGUUUUGUUAAGGGACAAGGUAAAAUUUUCUAAUUAUUUUUAAAGCUAAAUUUGUUCUAUUCAAGAAAUAAAUGUCUGUAAAAUAAUAUCCAGUUAUCAUGUGUGGUUAAUGGAUAUUAGGGGAAGGAAUCAGUUUUCAUUAAAACCUCAUUUCUUGCAUUUUGGCUUUUUAUAAACACGAGUUAAGACAAUGAUCAAAACUAAUGACUAAUGACAUUCCCACUGGUUUAUAAAUGCACUCCAAAAUAUCACUUGCACGGUUACCAUUGCGAACACGAAUAUAAUUUUUGGGGUGCAAUUAUAGACCAAAUUCAAAAAUAAAUGGUACAAAUUUACUUGAUUAUAUAACUUCACACAUUUGGAAUUUAGAAACAAUUUCAGCGCCCCUCUUUAGAUAAGAAGCAAAGCACGCCCCCUCCCGAGGGAGAAUAGAAAGAGUGACGGCUCAUUCAUCAUGAUAAGACUUCGUUCAUUUUGAAUUUUGAAAUUUUUUGACUUCGUUCAUUUUGAAUUUUGAAAUUUUUUAGGUCCAAACUUGGAAUCGUAGCACUGCUGGGGUGGGAAUAUCAGUUUUCAUUCAAAUUGCUUCCAUUGAAGAUGAGUGAUACUAACUCAUUCAAUCCAUGAAGAUACAACGUGAAACCAAUUACAAAUCUUGGGUCCCCUUUGCAAUGAACAUACAUUGUCAUCGAUUGGAUUUGGAUUUAUUAUUCUUCCUUGGGAGGAGCCAUCCGAGGCGGCAAGCGUGAACAAAGACGGUAUCCCGAUCGCUCAAAUCGGCUGUUAUAAUUUCCGGGGCUGUGGCGGCAGCGCUCGGAGUUAUAUUUUUUGUGGCCAAGAAGGUAAAAGAGGCAAGAGAUUGACUUGCAGGAAGUUUGUAGGCCUGCACAUUGCCUCCAUAUAUACCUUUGUGGUGGACUGCCAUUUUAACUAUUGCAAACUUUUGUUUUUGGGCAGAGUAUGGUUAUCACUCUGCACGUUGAAUUGUGUUCCUUAUCCAUCAGUUUGGUUGUCUGCUAUACACUGUUGGCAAGGGGAAAAAAUGUGUUUUUUUGUACGUUCAUUGGGUCUGCUAAUAAAGAUAAAGAGCAAAGCAGAUUAGGAUUGACAACCAACUUUUUUGGUUGAGUUGUCUUUUGGAUCAAAGAUUUAAUAAAUAAAAAUGAAUAAAAAUUAAAUAAUUCAAUAAUUUUAAACGGUUAAAUUGUCUAUAAUUUUUUUUACCAUAAAAGUCGACUGUGUCAUCGACUUUGGCAGGAGGUUAGAGCAUCUCCGACACCCUUUUUCCUUUCUCUAAAUUUUUAAAAAAUAGAGGAUAAACCGUGUUUAAAGAUUUUUUUUUAUUUUCUCUUUCAACAAUAAUUUCUAUUUUUUUAUUUUUUAAUAUAAUAUUUUUUUAUCUUCUUGACAGCUUUUUUUUCUCCCCUCCACGCUCUUCUUCCAAACCCAAUUCAAUACCAUGAACAAAUCCCUCCAAAACCAUCUCCCUAGCAAAACAGAAGAUAGGUUUGUGCUUGGUACUUGUUAUGAAGUAAGAUGACAUAUCAUUAUAAACUUUGAACCAGGAAGAAAUUUUAGCCAUCAAGCACAAUUGUCACCGGAUACAAACAAAACACAGCUAAAUUCCGGUGAAAAAGUGCAGAUAAAUUCUCCUCUCUCCAACCAAUUUUGAUUAACGGUGCAGAAAACCAGAGAGAGUGCUCUUAGU
rnacentral:lncRNA from 1 species